rnacentral:rRNA from 1 species
CGUUCCCGGGUCUUGUACACACCGCCCGUCACACCACGAAAGCGGGGGAACACCUGAAGCCGGGUAGUGAACCUUCGGGACACGCCUGUCGAGGGUGGGCUUCGUGAUUGGGGUG